rnacentral:rRNA from 1 species
ACGGGAGGCAGCAGCUAAGAAUAUUCCGCAAUGGACGAAAGUCUGACGGAGCGACGCCGCGUGGAUGAUGAAGGUCGAAAGAUUGUAAAAUCCUUUUAGGAGUGAAGAAUAAGAGGUGCAGGGAAUGGCAUCACGGUGACGGUAGCUCCUGAAUAAGCAACGGCUAAUUACGUGCCAGCAGCCGCGGUAACACGUAAGUUGCGAGCGUUGUUCGGAAUUAUUGGGCGUAAAGGGCAUGUAGGCGGUUUUGCAAGCUUGGUGUGAAAUCUCGGAGCUCAACUCCGAAAUUGCGUUGAGAACUGCAUAACUAGAGUCACUGAGGGGCAAUCAGAAUUCCAGGUGUAGGGGUGAAAUCUGUAGAUAUCUGGAAGAAUACCAAUGGCGAAGGCAGGUUACCAGCAGAUGACUGACGCUGAGGUGCGAAGGUGCGGGGAGCAAACAGGAUUAGAUACCCUGGUA